rnacentral:rRNA from 1 species
AGAAUCAACGCUGGCGGCGUGCCUAACACAUGCAAGUCGAACGAGAAAGUGGUAGCAAUACCAUGAGUAAAGUGGCGCACGGGUGAGUAACACGUGACUAACCUACCCUGGAGUGGGGGAUAACUGGGAGAAAUCCUAGCUAAUACCGCAUAAUACCUACGGGUCAAAGGAGCAAUUCGCUUCAGGAGGGGGUCGCGGCCGAUUAGUUAGUUGGCGGGGUAAUGGCCCACCAAGACAGUGAUCUGUAUCCGGCCUGAGAGGGCGCACGGACACACUGGAACUGAAACACGGUCCAGACUCCUACGGGAGGCAGCAGUGGGGAAUUUUGCGCAAUGGGGGAAACCCUGACGCAGCAACGCCGCGUGGAGGAUGAAGUCUCUUGGGACGUAAACUCCUUUCGAUCGGGACGAUAAUGACGGUACCGAGAGAAGAAGCCCGGCUAACUUCGUGCCAGCAGCCGC